CUCCUUCCAUAGGCCAAAGAUUUGGAUUUCGGCCGGAAUUUUACAAUUUCGUCCGAAAUUCGUCCAUACCGGUUAGGCCCGGUAUAAAAAGUAUCCGGUUAAAUAUUUCGGCCUGGUUUAAACCUUCAGCCCAGCCAAGGUCCAAAAUAGCCCACGUAUACCUGCCUGUGGUAUAAAAACCCCAACGAAAGCAGCGCAAACCCUAAAUUUCAUUUUUCCUCUAUCCACUCCUGUGUGGCGGCUGCAGGGAACGAAACCCGAAGGUGGCGAGACAGCGGCCGCCCCGCCUCCGCGCAGCCUCCUCCUCCCUCACCACUCCACUCCCUCAAGCACUCCUCCUCGUUCUUCUUGUUUCAAUGGAGGUCAUGCCCUGGGCUGCGCCCUUGGACGCGGCGACCCAGUCGACGGCGGCAACAACGUGGACCGCUGCCAUCUGAAUGUAUGAGCUCGAGUCUAUGGUACUCCAUCGUAUAUGGUGGGUGCUAGCUAGCUGUGAAUGAGUAGGCACCAAACAACACGUUAGCUGUGAGCAGUAGUAUUGCCCGCAUGCUAAUAUAUGAAGGGUCGUUCAGGGUUAAAGUUUGUUCUGCUUAAUUUACAAGAUUUUCUUUAAAUUUCGGUCAUUUUUCGUUGAAUUUUCGGCCAAUUUUCGUUCUAGAUUUCAAAGUAUGAUUUGUGCUUUUCGUCCGAAAUUUUCCGAAAAAAAAACCGAAAUCCCGAAUUUCGGCCAUUUCGCCCAGGAGCGGUAAAAAACUAAAAACGAAAUCCAAAAUCUUGCCAUAGGCCAACACUCUCUCGGAGUUUGUUGGAGGCGUCCGCAGUAGUAGCUAGCAGUUCUUUCUCUUUCUGGAUCUCUUCGAGUAGGAUACGCUGCCUACUCCGGGCGGCCUCCAAGCUACCCUCAUGAGAUCCCACCCUUGCGAUAAGAUCAGCAUUGGCCGCUGAGGCGACCUCAAGUUCCUUGGCUUUGCCGUCAAACUCCCCCCGUAGGUCCGACAAGGCAUGCGUCCCCUUCUGGAUAUCGUCACGCAACUUUGAGAUUUCCUAAUUGGAGGCGGCAAGGUUCAGCUCCAGCUAUUGUACCUUGCCGAAUAUUCGUACCUUGCCCUCCAGCUCGACCUUGGCGGAUUGAGCAGUUGCGGCAGCUUUAGCAUCCUGUUUUGGCCUCCUAGUGUGUUGCAUUGCUUGUUCUUCAAGGGCACCUUUAUGCUCCAACUCCAAUUCCCGGAUCCGGUUCUCAAUCCUAGCCUUGAGUUCCCCUCCCGGGCGGCAAGCUCCUCGUCAUGAGCAUCGAGCUCGAUCUGUUGCACGACCUACUCUGCCUCGGUCUAGGCAAGGAGGUCCUUUCCCUACCUCACGAUUUUCUCCGCCAUGGCCUUCCAAUGUAUGAAUGCAACGCUAUCCUUGGCAAGGUCCUAUCAGUCUUUGGUGAGCUCCUUGUGCUUCUCGACAAACCAGGCCUAUGAUUCGGCGAGGCGCUCGUGGAAGUCAUUCUCUGUCCCGACAAGGAUGAAUUUCUUGCGAUCUAGCAUCUUCGACAGACCUACAUAAUACGCUUGCACUCGCCUGAAUACCCCAGUCGUGGAGGACAGGAUGGCGUGCUCCCUGGCCUCGUUAGUCCCGUCGAAGGGAUCGACUAUCACCUCCUUUUCGGCUGUGGCAAUGGAGUCGUCAACAACUUCUUCUUCGGAGAAGGCCUUAGAGAUCGUACUUCCAAUGGGGCUAACGAAUUCCAGGUCCUCCACCUUGAGGUAUCGGCUUUAGGGUGGAGUUGGUGCUGUUGAUGGACUGUCGGUAGCCUUGCUGGCAUGGGAAAACGUGACGAACAUGCCUCCACUGACUGCGCUGGGGCAGAGGUGCUCUUGGAGUCCAACGACACUUCGACAGACGCCCCCUCCCCCGCGGCGAUCCGGCUAGCCUUGUCGGCUGCCGACUUGGCGAUCUCCUCCAUGCUGGCAUCUACGUCCGUGCCUUUAGGGGGAGGCAGAUCUUCAACACCAAGAUAACUGAACUCAGGGAAGUUCAAUAAGACAAGAGAAUAUAAAAUCAAAUACUCCGGCAAUCAAAAGCUUACACAUUGGAUCCUGUUGAGGAGGGGCAUCGCCUCCUCUAGCAACAUCCGUUGUCGUCGCACGGCCAUUGCCGGCAUUGCCUACCGGUGCGCCCUCUGUGUGGGCGGGCCCAUCAGUGGUAACCCUGUCAGAGAGCUCCUUUCCGGGGUCGAGUGUUCUUGGGAUACCUCUUGAUGCUUCAACUCCAUGUGGAUUGGGAUGGAGGUGUCGUAGUCGAUGUGCACACCUACAUUUGCCGUUGGGCACAGAGGCGUGGCCUCACGCCGGCAGCUGGCCAACGGAGUAAGGUCUAUGACCUCCCGCCCUGGCACAGAGCUUGUUUCCUCCCUCGUGGUGGACUCGGGUCUUGACUUCUUCUCUAUCCUCUACGGCAAGAUCUCCACGUCCCUGAAGCAAUUGUAAUAGUGACAAAAUUCAGAGAAGGAUCAACAAAAAUAAAGCUAGGAUUGGUUACUUGUGAUCAGAGAAGUUACUUGUGAUCUUCCACCCCGAGCUAAAGGAGGACAAGUUCGACAUCCCUUCACGCGCGGGGGAGGAGGGGGGAUGGUUGCGGAGUAGGCGCCCUGGAACACCCGCGGGCUCUGCGAGAGCACUUUUUUGGCACGUGGCGGCAGUCAGCCUCAUUUGUCGGGGUCGGGCAACAUUGGUGGCAAGGUCCCACUCCUCCCUCUCAUCCUUGACUCCCAGGGAAGAGCACAGUGGACCGGCUCCCAUGUAUCGGCCUUGCGGAGCACACGCGUUUUCUUGGAGGCGCCAUGAACUGGGUGCUCCGCAAACUCUGGCUACUCCGUGACCUCGACGUUUGCAGCCCUGACGCCCUCGGUGCCGGCGAGUACCUCCUGUCUGCACUAUGCAGACGGCUACUCACCAUGCCCCUCCUCAUGGUAGCCCUCCUCAUCCUUCUCCUCUUCAUCAACAAUGAAAGCCCUCAAACUACUACCGCCCACGUCAAGACCCACAUCUAUGGCCCGUCGGUCGAUGAACACGAGCUCCACCUCAGUGGUGGCACGGAUCAUUGACCCUUCGUCCCUGAUGCGCGCCUUCGUCAGGUUGUCGAACCACGCCUGCACCAUCUCGUUUGCUACGGCCCGCCACAUGGGAUCUAACCCAUGUGCAUUGCACACGGGCAUCAUCGCAACUAUCGCAUCCUUGCGGGAGUUAUUGCAGAGAAGGAUGGCGGACGGUAGAAGAAUAAACCCGCCAUCUGAGUGAAAGAGCUAGUGGUGGAGGGAAGCCAACUGUAAGAAGGUUAGGUCUCCAUCGAGCCUGGGGUGUACCCACAUGAUGUUGGCAGGACCAACAUACUACCAGGAGUAGCGCCCCCUAUCUUAAGGGGGGGAAUGCGCAUGGUAAGGAAAUCAAAACCCACCAUUUCUAUGGUGAGCCCGACAACCCUCAACUGGAGCAUUCGGGCAAUGUCGAUCUCUAACUUUGCAUCAUCUGGGGCAAGAGCGCUCCAAACUUCCUUCCGGACGGGCUUGGACGUAUAGACCGCACUAAAUGAUGGAGGCUCCUUGUCGGAGUUACAUCACCAAUUCGCCUGCCAUUCUUCCCAUCUCUGAUGUACGUAGCCGGGGGGAUACACCUCCACUAAUGGAAUUCAAUAAUUUGCCAUCAGCCAGUUCUUUGCCGUAUGCUGGCUGAUGGCAAAGAACCUCUGUGCCGUCAGCUUUAAGAAAAUAGAUGGUAAAGAUCUGGCUGAUGGCAAAGAGCCUGUUUGCCAUCAGCCGCCUCUAUGCCGUCUGCCAACCGACAGCAGAGAAGCUGAAGACAGACGACAAAGAUCUGUAUGUUGGCUAAAAAUAUAUUGGCCAUCAGCAAGUUCUUUGCCGUCUGCCAACAGACGGCACAGAAGCUGAAGGCAGACGGCAAAGGAUCAGACUUAACGAUCGAAGACCACCCCACCCCACCCCAUCGCUUUGCCAUGUGCCUCACAAACUUUGCCUCCGCUACAGACGGGAAAGGGGACGGACCCCUAACGGUCAUCAGCCCCACCUGCUCCCUCACUCUCUCUCCCACUCUCUCUUCACUCUCUCCACCCCACGCCCACCGACCUCUCUCUCUCGCCCCUGCCCACCGUAGCGCCGCCGCCACACCAACGAAGCCGCUCCAACCCCCCACACUGCCCCGACCCACCCCAGCACCGCCGUCGCACUGCCGGAGCCAACACCCACUCCAACCCUCGCCGGACAUCCUUCCUACGCCGCUCCCCCCACUCCACCCCUCGCUGGCCCUCUCCUCCCUGCGCCACUCCCCCACCCCACCCCACUCCACCCCUCGCCGGCACUCCUCCCUACGCCGCUCCCCCACUCCACCCCUCGCUGGCCCUCCCUCCCUGCGCCGCUCCCCAGCCGACCCACCCCACCCCACCCUACCCCUCCGUUCCCACACCGGUGCCCCUGCCAUGCUGGUGCCCUUGCCAUGCGAGGCACCUCCAUCGCCCCAGUGCCCCUGCAGCCCCCCGGUGCCACUGUCGCCCCGUCGGUGAGUACCACCGUGCCCCCUUUUCCUUUUUUUAUGUUUUUUUAUUUUGGUUAAUUUAGUUAGUUUAUAAUUAGGUUAGUUUUAUUUUUUAUUAGGUUAGUUUAUUAGUUUAUUAAGUUAGUUUAUUAGGUCAAUUAGGUUACUUAGUUAGGUUAGAAGAAAAAAAAGAAGAAGGAAAAAAAUGAAAAAGAAAAAAGGAGAAGAAGAAAAGAAUUAGAAGAAGAAGAAGGAAAAGAUGAAGGAGAAGAAGAAAAAGAAGAAGAAGAAGAAGAAGAACAGGAGGAGGAGGAGACAGAAGAAGAAGAAGAAGANNNNNNNNNNNNNNNAGAAGAAGAAGAAGAAGACGAAGAAGAAGAGAAGAAGAGGAAGAAGACGAAGAAGAAGAAGAAAAGGAAGAAAUGGAAGAAGAAGAAAAGGAAGAAGAGGAAACAAAGAAGAGGAAGAAGAAUAAAAUGACAGCAUGACACCCUGACACGAUGGCCCGACACCCCGACACGACGCCCUGACACCCCGACACGAAACUCCGCGCAACUGUUAAUUCGCCGCCCCCGACGCCACUAACCCCCAACCCCCGACCCUCGACACCUCUUCGGCCUCUUGUUGACCGAAAAGGUGAUCUUCGUCCUUCCAGAUGCCGACUGCCACAGACCUCACUAGAAGAAUUCUCGUAGAAGAGAGGAGAGGUAGAGAAGAGAGGUCUCCAGAACCAGAAGAGUUGGCGUGCUGACCCUUCGACCAUGCGUCACCAUACAUGAGGGUGUCGGGGACGAGCUAGUUAGGGGAUUCCUCGAUGUCGAUGCAUCCCUAGAUGACAUCUAUAUAGGUCAUAUAUUUGUGUAAGGUCAUAUAUUUUUCGAUUUUAUUAAUGAACACAAAAUAUUUGUGUUGAUCGGGUGGAUUUACAUGUGACAGUUGUGUCGUCGCUAUGAGGUCUGCUAUGCGAAGACCUCCCCGUGCAUUCUACGAGCUCCGCCCUUGCAUUCAUGGGUGAGUACAAAUGGCAUCUCCUCCUCUCCCCUUCAUUUGUUGUGGGUUUUUCUUCGGAUGAAACUUGCUAGGUAUAGGUAAUUAAAUUAAUUUAUCAGUAUGCGUUACCAGUAUACGUCUUCGGUUUGAAAGGGUUAUAGUUAUAAAUAUGCAUGCAUUUGCAUAUAUUAAUAACCGUGAUUCUUCAGAAUUUUCCAACGUUAUCCAUGGCAGCCCGAGUAUGUGUAGAUUGCGUUCGAUUUCCCAUAUGCAUUGUUCCGGAUCCGAUGCAUAAUUUCGUCAGUGCCUCCCUGUUGUUCUCCGGAUACACAUUCUCUCUGUUUAUUGCAGAGACUUGUAUCAGGACAACAGCGGGGAGGUGCUACCGAUAUUUUUCAUUGGAUCCGGAGAAGAGCAUGGGAAAACGAACCCAAUCUACACAUACUCGGGUGCGAUGAGGACCUAUCUUUACCUAUUAGCAUGUAGGUUAAAUGGACGUAAUAAAACUGGCGAACUUGAUUAACUGAUGAAUAUAUAUGCUGAAUUAGAUAUAAAUAUAUUUCUUAUGUGUUUAGUAGCUAGGCAAGAUGAGUUGUGACAUCCCCCGAAUAAGCUACAAUAAUCAAUGUAGUUAGGCUACAUUAACCUCAUCCUAAUGUGCCACAUCAUCAAUAUUAACUAACCCAAGUUUCAACUCGAUGAAAAACAAAGCCAAAUUAAAAUUAAAAUAAAUAAAUAAAUUCUUGAAACAUAAAAAACAAAAUAUUCCUCACAUUAUAAAUAAUCCACAUAUGAUUGUGGUGGAGAAACCAACAUUUUUAGAAAUAAAGUAGUAGCCAAAUUAAUAACGUAAGUGCCUUUAAUAUUAUUAUAAGUUUCAACCCACUUUAUUAAAUCCCAAACUUUUUGUGGCUCUCUCUAAUAUUACAAUAAUAUUACUCGGCGGGCUUCUAUAUUCUAAUAAAAUGAAUUUCUAUUCGCAAUAAAACUAAAACGGAAAUUGAAAACAAAAAGAAAAAAACAAACCCCGCACUCGGCCAAAAUGGCCCAGCGAGCCCACCCCGUCGCCCCACCACUAGACCACCUAAUUUGGGAGUAUUUAACCCCUCCUUUUUUUUACCCCAAACCCUAGCACUCGAUCCCCACUAGCUCCACCCCGCCGCCAUAGAAGCCCCAGCGACGAGGGGUUGGCUCCCCUCGUCCCCCACCCCGUCGCUCACUCACCCAACCCCCUCGCUACCUCCUCCCCUCGCGUGAGCCAACGCUCGCCCAGCCCCCCUCGCGAGCGCUCUCUCUCCCUCCCUCGUUCCUGUCCCGUCGCUCCUCCCCCUACGACCACGCCGGCCCUCCCCAUACCAUCACGCUGUUGGGGAACGUCGCAUGGGAACAAAAAUUUUCCUACGCGUACGAAGACCUAUCAUGGUGAUGUCCAUCUACGAGAGGGGAUGAAUGAUCUACGUACCCUUGUAGAUCGUACAGCAGAAGCGUUAGAGAACGCGGUUGAUGUAGUGGAACGUCCUCACGUCCCUCGAUCCGCCCCGCAAACAAUCCCGUGAUCAGUCCCACGAUCUAGUACCGAACGGACGGCACCUCCGCGUUCAGCACACGUACAGCUCGACGAUGAUCUCGGCCUUCUUGAUCCAGCAAGAGAGACGGAGAGGUAGAAGAGUUCUCCGGCAGCGUGACGGCGCUCCGGAGGUUGGUGAUGACCUUGUCUCAGCAGGGCUCCGCCCGAGCUCCGCAGAAACACGAUCUAGAGGAAAAACCGUGGAGGUAUGUGGUCGGGCUGCCGUGGAAAAGUCGUCUCAAAUCAGCCCUAAAACCUCCGUAUAUAUAGGUGGGAGGGAGGGGGCCUUGCCUUGGGGCUCAAGGAGCCCCAAGGGGGUCGGCCGAGUCCAAGGGGGAGGACUCUCCCCCCCCAAACCGAGUUGGACUAGGUUUGGUGGGAGGGAGUCCCCCUUCCUUCCCACCUCCUCCUUUUUUUUUCUCUCUUGAUUUUCUUCUCCUUGGCGCAUAGGGCACUUGUGGGCUGUCCCACCAGCCCACUAAGGGCUGGUGNGUGAUCUCAUCCGGGACUCCAAACAACAUUCGGUAACCAACCAUAUAACUCAUAUACGCAUAAAACAACGUCGAACCUUAAGUGUGCAGACCCUGCGGAUUCGAGAACUAUGUAGACAUGACCCGAGAGACUCCUCGGUCAAUAUCCAAUAGCGGGACCUGGAUGCCCAUAUUGGAUCCUACAUAUUCUACGAAGAUCUUAUCGUUUGAACCUCAGUGGCAAGGAUUCGUAUAAUCCCGUAUGUUAUUCCCUUUGUCCUUCGGUAUGUUACUUGCCCGAGAUUCGGUCGUCAGUAUCCGCAUACCUAUUUCAAUCUCGUUUACCGGCAAGUCUCUUUACUCGUUCCGUAAUACANNNNNNNNNNNNNNNNNNNNNNNNNNNNNNNNNNNNNNNNNNNNNNNNNNNNNNNNNNNNNNNNNNNNNNNNNNNNNNNNNNNNNNNNNNNNNNNNNNNNNNNNNNNNNNNNNNNNNNNNNNNNNNNNNNNNNNNNNNNNNNNNNNNNNNNNNNNNNNNNNNNNNNNNNNNNNNNNNNNNNNNNNNNNNNNNNNNNNNNNNNNNNNNNNNNNNNNNNNNNNNNNNNNNNNNNNNNNNNNNNNNNNNNNNNNNNNNNNNNNNNNNNNNNNNNNNNNNNNNNNNNNNNNNNNNNNNNNNNNNNNNNNNNNNNNNNNNNNNNNNNNNNNNNNNNNNNNNNNNNNAGAUACCUCUCCGUCACAUGGAGUGACAAAUCCCAGUCUUGAUCCAUACUAACUCAACUAAGACCUUUGGAGAUACCUGUAGAGCAUCUUUAUAGUCACCUAGUUACGUUGCGACGUUUGAUACACACAAAGCAUUCCUCCGGUGUCAGUGAGUUAUAUGAUCUCAUGGUCAUAGGAAUAAAUACUUGACACGCAGAAAACAGUAGCAACAAAAUGACACGAUCAACAUGCUACGUCUAUUAGUUUGGGUCUAGUCCAUCACGUGAUUCUCCCAAUGACGUGAUCCAGUUAUCAAGUAACAACACCUUGUUCAUAAUCAGAAGACACUGACUAUCAUUGAUCAACUGGCUAGCCAACUAAAGGCAUGCUAGGGACGGUGUUUUGUCUAUGUAUCCACACAUGUAAAUGAGUCUUCAUUCAAUACAAUUAUAGCAUGGAUAAUAAACUAUUGUCUUGAUACAUGAAUUAUAAUAAUAACUAUAUUUAUUAUUGCCUCUAGGACAUAAUUCCAACACGCGCCGCCACCGGCCCUCCGGCUGUUCUCCUUUGGGCACCUCGCCCCUCCUCCGACGGUGGAGCUCGCCUCCGUCGCGUCGGGCCGCCGCACCGCCGCCGGCCGCCUCCGCCACGCACCACCUGCGCCACCGCCUCCGACCGAGGCCACUCCGCCUCCCCCUCCUCCUUUGUCCUCCUUCAGCUCCGACCGUGGUCGAACCCGUCGCCAGGCCCUCUCCGUUCACCACCACCAGAGCUCCCCUGUCGGCUCCUCCUUCGAUCCGCCCCGACCACCUCCAUGAUCCCCUCCUCCUCCGGCCGCCUCCGUCACCGGAACACCACCACCGGGACCAUGCGCCUCCUCCCCUCCCCGGGAACUCCGGCUACACCGGGCCUUCCCUUCAACGCUGGUGAGCCCUCCCUCGGGCUCCUCCCACCCCCUUCCUUCUUUCCCCCCUGCGGUUCCGUUCCGACACCCCGCACCGGGGCCUCCGGCGAUCUCCAUCGUGCACCUUCGGGCCCUUCCCAUUGGUCGAGGAGGAGUAGCCUCCUGUGAACUGUUAGGAGAAAGAACAAAAAAUAAAAUGAAAUAAAAUAAAAACAAACAGUGUAUGUAUGCAAGUUUUAUGUAUGUAUGUAUGUAAAAUUUUAUGUAUGUAUGUAUGUAUUUGAGUAUGUAUGCAUGUAUGUAGAAAGAGGUAAAUAUGUAUAUAUAUGUGUGUGUGUGUGUGGUGAGGCCGAUGGGCCAACCCCCUCCCCCCGACUCUCACUAACACGGAGGCCCCACACAACCCUCUGUUAAAAAUAAUAAUUAAUAAUAAUGUAAAAAUAAUACUGAAUGAAUAUUUUAAUAAAUUAAACAAUUAAUAUUUAAUGAAUGAAUUAACUAGGUAAUUAUAAUGAUUAUGAGUAAUUAGAAUAAUUAAGUAAAUCUGUUAAUAUAGAUAAGUAUUUAUCCUAACAGAAUAUGACACGUGGGUCCCCCGCUAAAUUAAUCUGAUUAAGUAAUAAUUAACCCUAAUUAAAAAAUGUGUCUAUGACACCUCGGACCCACUGGUUAGUUUGACCAGUCAACUGCUGAUGUCACCAUGACAUCAUGCUAAUGUCAUAAUAGCAUUUAAUUGAGUUAACUAAAUCUGUUUUUUGAUUCCUAAAUAUUAGUGAAACUUUGAAAAUUAAUAUAAAAUAAACUGUAGCUCAGAUGAAAAUAUUUUCAACAUAAAAGUUGAUCAAUAGAACGAGACAAACCCAGAUACACGGUCCAAUCUGUGUCACGCGUCCCUAGCAUAGCAAACGUGGAACUUUUCCACCAUUUUUUGUCCGACCGGUAGUAGCCAGAGAUCCGGGAAAUAUCAUCAAAUAUUUUCUCGACCCGUCUCUGACGAAAGUUACUGCGUUAGCUCAUGCCUAGCCUGCAUAUUGCCAUGUCAUGCUGAGUGUUGAACCGGUAGAGCCCGAGACUGACGUUGUUGCCGGAUACAUCUACCCUCCUGUCGACCAGCCCAUUACCGCAGAGCAACAAGGCAAGCAAACCACCUUGAUCAUUCCUAUAUGGCCUAUUCUUUCUCCCUCAUGCUUGCAUUAGAAUUUUUCUACUCUUGUAGUUAGGUCCUAUAUCUAAUGCAUAGCCUGUUUUUGAUGAACUGCUACUUUCAGUACCGGCACUUUAAAACUGCUUAGUAUAGGUGGAGCAGUCAUCCCGUUUGACCCCUUAGUCCAGUUGCCCUGCUUUGUCAUCAAGUGUCGAUCCCUGACUGACGAGCCAGAUCCAACACAACACUUACACCCCCCUUAGUUGUGCAACGCUACAGAGCUACUAUCGGGUAUCGAGGAUGACACCUCGCGAAGUACUCAUGAUGAUAUCUCUGUAGUACAGCAAGUCGGUCAUGGUUAUCAAGGGUGAUUCCUCCUUCACCACUCUCGAUGAUGACUCUAUCGUGCAACCCCUAAAGUGUGACCCCCGAGGGUGAUUCCUCUAAGUCCACCUUGACGGUUACUUCAUUCAGAAUCCAUCGAGGGUGAUACCUCGGAUCCUCCCCGAUGUUACAACCACACAGUUACCAGACCAUGUUACUGGGAUCUUUGAUGAAUAAAUGUUAGGCGGGUGGAUUCCCACGUGGAUGUGUUGAUGGCUUAAUUAAAAUGAUAAUGGCUAUGGGUAUUAAUCUGGGUUGGUCGGAAGGCCUUAUUACACACUAACCGUCUCCGUGGGAAGAAUUAUGGGUACUCAGCAUCGUGGUAUCAGCCGAAGCUUUUCAGACGUCGGCAAUGGACCGGCGCGCACCCGAGUGGUCCCGAGAUGCAUCACGCUCGUAGUAAGGGGUACUAAGACUGACAUCGGCUGCCCAGGCAUCAUGCAGGAGCGUAGAGGGCAAGUGGGCCCACGACCCCUUUUCGCUUCGGAGUUAGACCGGCGAGCUGGCCUCUGUGUUGAGCUUUGGUGGGGCUGCGACGUGUCGAUAUUCCGAGGCCGGGCAUGACCCAGAAAAGUGUGUCCGGCCAGAGUGUUAUCGAGCCUGACGGGGAAUAUGUUGUGCCCCCCCACAGGGAAGAACUUGUCUAUUCGAAUAGCCGUGUGCACGGUUACAGGACGACUUGGAGUUAUGCCCUGACCUUAUAGAACUACAACUGUUACAUAACUGGAAUUAGUUGCCCCGAGAUUGCUUCCUCGUAGGGAGUCGAGGGAGGAUCUCUGGGCGUGACCUUUUAUUAAUAUUGCUGCAACAAUAUGACUAUUAGUUGUGUUACCUCUUCUACUUGUCUAUUGCUGCAAGACCCCUGAAGAUGCUAGUCUUCGAUAGGACUAGGCCUUCUCUCUCUAAUCUUGCAUUGCUACAGUCAGUCCACGUAAAUACCUUCUUUGAUAUUGUUGCAUACUUAGCAUAGUUCUGAUAUAAGUCUUGCGAGUACUUUGGAUGAGUACUCACCGUUGCUUUGCUCCCCUUUGUCCCCUUUGUUCGUUGCUGCGACCAAAUGUUGGAGCCAGGAGAUGGAGUAUCCUACCGAUGAUGUCAGCCACCCCGAUGGUGACUUCUUCGUGGAGACCGCUGAAGAUCGGGAGUAGUUUAGGAGGUUCCCAGGCAGUAGGCCUCACCUCGUUCGAUCAUUGUAUCAUUUGUGCUAGCCUUCUCUAAGGCACCUCAUGUUUAAUGUAUGUACUAAGAUAUUUGUUGCUUCCGCUGACUGGUGUGUUUAUCGAGCUUACGUAUUCUAGCCCUCGAGGCCC
rnacentral:lncRNA from 1 species